UCGUAGGCGAAAAUUGUGGUGUUUAAAGCA
rnacentral:misc_RNA from 1 species